rnacentral:rRNA from 1 species
CAGUAGCCGCGGGAAAACGUAGGUGGCAAGCGUUGUCCGGAAUUAUUGGGCGUAAAGGGCUCGCAGGCGGUUUCUUAAGUCUGAUGUGAAAGCCCCCGGCUCAACCGGGGAGGGUCAUUGGAAACUGGGAAACUUGAGUGCAGAAGAGGAGAGUGGAAUUCCACGUGUAGCGGUGAAAUGCGUAGAGAUGUGGGGGAACACCAGUGGCGAAGGCGACUCUCUGGUCUGUAACUGACGCUGAGGAGCGAAAGCGUGGGGAGCGAACAGGAUUAGAUACCCCCGUAGUCCCUGUCUCUUAUAC